AUCUUAUAAGUUGCAGCCUGAAUUAGGCUGAUGGCUGGUGGCCAAAAGCUACCAGCCU
rnacentral:sRNA from 1 species